UGGCCGCGAGAGCUCAGCCGCCCGCUGGCCGCCAGAGCCCGGAUUGGCCGAGCACCGCCCAGCGGCGACGCCUCCUGGCGGUCGCGGCGAGAGGGACACGUGGAGUUCGGGGGUGGUUGGUUUUACUCGGUCGGGCUCGGCCGCGGUCACGACGCGUCACGUGAGGCGGGCAAGAUGGCGGCUCCCGCGGACGGCGCCGACCUGGAGGCAUCGCUGUUGAGCUUCGAGAAGCUGGACCGCGCCUCCCCGGACCUGUGGCCCGAGCAGCUGCCCGGCGUCGCCGAGUUCGCCGCUUCCUUCAAAAGCCCUAUUACAAGUUCUCCUCCCAAAUGGAUGGCUGAAUUGGAAAAUGAUGAUAUCGACAUGUUAAAGGAGCUGGGGAGCCUCACUACAGCCAACCUGAUGGAAAAAGUCCGUGGCCUGCAGAACCUGGCUUACCAGCUGGGACUGGAUGAAUAAUCUUUGCCCUGAUCUUAACAAAUGCUGUUCCACUCACAAAGAUGAGCUCAUAAUUUUGGCUGUGAUCAAGACCUCCAUACAUUCUCCACACACUUUGCUAGAGAAAUGACUCGUGGGAAAUUCCUGAACAUCCUAGAGAAACCCAAAAAGUAGCUGCCACACCUGGAUUUUGUACAAAAAUACCCUGACUGGACCAUUUUACGUCCCGUGGAUCCAGAUGAACCCCAGAACUUCAAAGGAGGGAGUACAAAGCUCUUGCUCUAGACCUUCAGAAGCAAACAGCUCUUUUGCUUCCACAGCUCUUCUUGUUGUGGAGGGAGACGUGUUGCAUACACUGGUCCCAAGGACUGCGAUUUGUUGCGUUGGAACUCAGAUUUCAUCUAACCUUAAGACAUCCAACAGGAGGACUCAGCCCUCACAUGCUGUUAAAGAAUUACCUGGGAGGGUAUUUUAAUCAGCUGUUUAAAGUGAACAGGCACAGUGUCCUUAUUCCAUUGCUCCCAGUGGCAGCACCUGUCCGAAGCUCACAAAAGAUCUGACGCUGGCCAGUGUGCACCAGGAGGCAUCGACCCUUUUGUGCGUCUUUUGUCUUAGAUGCGUUGAUUUGCUACGUGUAACUUCUGUGCUGAAAGAUUUGAGCAGAUUUGGGGUGCAGAGUGCCCGGUGGUGCUGGUUUGGCAGGAGCACGUGCUGUUGGUGCCGGAGCGCAGUCUGUGCCAUACUUCUAGUUCCUCGCCGCCUUCAGAGAAGCACGUCUGGUGCUCCAAGGAGAACCUCCAGACCUUCAUCUCAUCGCAAAAUGGUUCUCUAGAGAAAUCGAGACUAGCAGACUGUAGGGAGCAGGAGGUGUUACUGUAUCAUGAAGGAAAAUAUCCCUAUGGAAACUUUGGCCAGUACACAAAGAAACAGGUUUGGCAGACCACUGCAGUUCUCUGCAUCUUACAGAGCUAGAAACUGAAAAAUGUUAUAAAGUUGAAAGGUAGUAAUAUUUUCAGUUAAUUACUCCAAGAAGGGGUAACAUUGCAAAGAUGGUCUGCUUGUACAGAAUCUUAACGCUUCUGACAAUAAUAUUUUGCAGUAUUUUAAAUUACUUAUAAACCAGCAAACUCAAAAUUUUCUUCCCCUACAAAACCAGAGUUUUUAAGGCAGAAUUUUCUGUGACCUGGUCUCUUUCAGUAGACCGUUUUGGGCUUUAUUUAUCUUGCAGUUUAGUGCCUUUUCCUUCUGUUAAUGCGCUUCUGCAUAUUCACCCCUGAGAAGAAGGACCAUGUUCAGCAUUUAAAUUUUAUUUAAGAGAAUUUUUUUUUUAUUUCAUCCUCUUUCCUUUUCCUAGAAAACAACAUUUUAAGCGUUAGUAAAUAUUUUCUUUCUACAUCACAACAUAAUAUUGAAACAUUGGAUGAAGAAGAGAGUUUUUUCUCCAUUUAGAAAUGUUAUUUUCAGCCUGCAGGCUUUUCAAAACUUGUAAUUUCCAAAGUUGCAGUCACAUGUGAGAGGAGAAAUUACUUGCAAAUAGGCAGAUCAUUGCAUUUUCUGUCUUUGCAGAGAGAGGAGACUCUUCUCAGGUGCAUGUGCAAUAAAGAGGAGGAGAUUUUUUUAAUCAAGUAGACUUCUCUGAACUUUUACUAAAAGGCUGGUGGCCUUCUGCUUUGCAGUCUGUGGUCUUGGUUAUUACCAGUCAGAACUGGGCUCAUUUGGGACAGGUCCUGUUGACAGCGUUUAAGCAGUUAAAUCCUACAUCCCGAAGGACCCUGCACAAAUACUGAGUGUUUAGGAAUGUUAGGAGUCUGAUUUAAAACCUAACAGAUUUCAUUCUGUACUUCACAGUUUAUCCAGGCCUGUGUUUAGCAGGAACUCCAUCCCUUGAGAACAUGAGAUUUAAGACAGGUCAAUGUGAAGAGAAGCUAAAAGUGGCAAUUUAGAGACAGACAAGAAACCUGCUGGUGUAAACUGAUGUUGGUGUAGCUCUAAGUAUUAAAUGAUACAAUUUGAAUGCAAUUUAAAGUCUGUAUACUAGAUAUAUAAUGUAUAUAUACACAUAUGACGUAAUAGGAUGCUUCGUCUAUAUCACCAGUAUGAGUUUGUGCAUUUUAUAGAGGUUUGUUGAUCCAACACAUCAAGAAAUUGAGACAUUAAGAAAGGGGGAGGAAUACAGGAGAAGAUAUGAAAGCCUGGCAUGGAAGUAUAUGUAUAUUUUCUGAUACAUUUAGUAAGGACUUUCAAACUUGAGGCAGUUUUUAAUAACAUACGUUUUGUUUGUUUGGGUUUUUUUUUUAAAAAGCCUUUUACCAUAUGCAGUACUUAUCUUCUAUAGGGCAGCCAGUAACAUAUGCUUUAGAAUUGUGAUAUUUAUUGGUUUUGUAAUUGGCAUCUGUAGAGAUGAGUCAGUGAAGUAUUUUUUUAAUUGGUGAUGUUCAUAUGUAUUUUUGUGGGCUAGCUAGAGAAUUGUAAUCUAUCAGUGAUUGUUCUGUGGUUUGAUAAUAAACAAAUGCAAAGCUGAGAUUCAUCUGGGUUUCCAGAAUAGCUCUCUGAGAUGCAAAAGCUUUUGCUUUACCACCUGAGCAAUACUCUCCCUCAGGCUUUUCUUCACACGUCUGUAUGCCACCACCUUAAGGUUUGGCCUGUGGAUGCUCCAUUCCCAUCAGUAAAUGAAAAUUUGGCAAUAUCCAAAUGGUACUAAGGGUUUUCAUACGCUUUUGAACCCUAUUUUUUUCCUUCAGCUAUGUCCUUCCCGACAUCCCUGCAGUAUCUAUCUAUGCCAGAAGAUCUGGGUGACUUUUUUUGUGGAUAACCAUCUGUAUUUUGAAACAAAUGACUGAGAAAAGAUAAAUGAUGGGAAUGAAGAGUAUAAGAAGAUCAAGACUUGGUAAUAUUAAUUGAGCUAAUGCUUUGCUUUAUAAAGUGUUCUCAUGUGUUGCUAUGUUAAACGUUACUGUGUGAUUCUUGGAAAUAAACCCAAUGUGUAUUUAGUUCCUUUUAAGUGCCAGUGUUACAUAUACUCAGUUGUAAAGGUUAUUCACUUCAGUCUUGGAGUAUCAAAUACUUUGCUGUUCAGUUCAACUGAGAAGAAAUUCUUGUUUGUUAUAUUAAUCAUUAUCAAAAUAAAAGUCUAGUUGCACUGGCAA